GGUGCUGUAGCCAAGUGGUAAGGCAGGAGUCUGCAACACUCUGAUCGGCGGUUCGAAUCCGCCCAGCACCUCCA
rnacentral:tRNA from 1 species